rnacentral:rRNA from 1 species
CCUACGGGAGGCAGCAGUGGGGAAUAUUGCACAAUGGGGGGAACCCUGAUGCAGCGACGCCGCGUGAGUGAAGAAGUAUUUCGGUAUGUAAAGCUCUAUCAGCAGGGAAGAAGAUGACGGUACCUGACUAAGAAGCCCCGGCUAACUACGUGCCAGCAGCCGCGGUAAUACGUAGGGGGCAAGCGUUAUCCGGAUUUACUGGGUGUAAAGGGAGCGGAGACGGCGGGGCAAGUCUGGAGUGAGAGGCCGGGGCCGAACCCCGGGACUGCGUUGGAAACUGCCAUGCUAGAGUGCUGGAGAGGGAAGGGGAAUGCCGAGUGUAGCGGUGAAAUGCGUAGAGAGUAGGAGGAACAACAGUGGCGAAGGCGGCUGACUGGACAGUAACUGACGCUGAGGCUCGAAAGCGUGGGGAGCAAACAGGAUGAGAUACCCUGGUAGUC